UUUUAUUUCUUGAACUGGACACUUUUAUUUGGGUUGUAAUUUAAUAAUUAUAUUUUACAAAAAUGUAUAAAAUUCUAUUCGAAAAAUUAUGAAAACAAUAUUUAAUUUUAUUUUUAUCUUCUUUAACUUUAAUUUAUUUAUUAAACUUCCUAGACCAAAAAUGGGACACGUCCAAUUUGAACUACACCAAUUAGGUAAAAAUCAACUCUCUCUACUCCCUUUUCUUCUUUUCCACUUUAUCUCCCUUUUUUAAUGUAAAUAUUUGGCUGAGACAUGUACAAACGUGAGCCUUUAGCUGAAUUCACAUAAACGGAAAAGCUUUUUCAUGUACCUUCUCAUUCCUCUUUUGUUCUUUUGUAAUAUAAAUGGAAAAGCUUUUUCAUGUACCUUCUCAUUCCUUUUUUGUUCUUUUGUAAUAUAUGGUGGUUAAAAAUUUUAACUUUCUCUAAUUAUGAACUACUUUAUUAAUAGUCGCCGUCAAUAAAUAGAUGCAUCCUCACAUUUUACCACUUUCAAGAAAAUCAAAUUUCUCUUCUUUUAACUAGAUUCACACAAAUGGAAAAGCUUUCUCUGGCAAUGGGAGCAUGAAUUACUCCAUGUACCUUCUCAUUCCCCUUUUGUUUUUCUGGAAUAUUUAAUGUGGUGGUUAAAAAUUUUAACUUUCUUCAACUUUCAACUAGUAUAACGGUCCCCAUCAAUACAUAAAUGCACCCCACAUUCUACCACUUUCAAGGAAAUCAAUUUUUUCUUUUUUUUCUUCUUCCAAUAUAUGGAUGCACCUCUACACCCACCACUUCCAUGGAAAUCAAAUUUCUCUUCUUUUCCUUCUCCCAAUAUAUGACUGCACUCUCGCACCCCAUUACUUCCACCGAAAUCAAAUUCCUCUUUUUUUCCUUCUCCCUGUAACGGUUCUCCUUUAAAAAUAAAACAAUUCAAAACAAAAUCAAUUAACUUUAAUUAAAUUAAUU
rnacentral:lncRNA from 1 species